GAUGAACGCUGGCGGCGUGCCUAAUACAUGCAAGUCGAGCGAGUGGAUUAAGAGCUUGCUCUUAUGAGGUUAGCGGCGGACGGGUGAGUAACACGUGGGUAACCUGCCCAUAAGACUAGGAUAACUACGGGAAACCGGGGCUAAUACCGGAUAACAUUUUGAACCGCAUGGGUAGAAAGUGAAAGGAGGCUUAGGCUGUCGUUUAUGGAUGGACGCGCGUCGCAUUAGCUAGUUGGUGAGGUAACGGCUCACCAAGGCACCGAUGCGUAGCCGACCUGAGAGGGUGAUCGGCCACACUGGGACUGAGACACGGCCCAGACUCCUACGGGAGGCAGCAGUAGGGAAUCUUCCGCAAUGGACGAAAGUCUGACGGAGCAACGCGGCGUGAGUGAUGAAGGCUUUCGGGUCGUAAAACUCUGUUGUUAGGGAAGAACAAGUGCUAGUUGAAUAAGCUGGCACCUUGACGGUACCUAACCAGAAAGCCACGGCUAACUACGUGCCAGCAGCCGCAGUAA
rnacentral:rRNA from 1 species